AAGUUUAAGAUCAAUUUAAUUGACAAAUAUUAGCGCGAAAUUAGCAUUUCUUUAAGUAAACAUCACCGCUUACGAGAUUUUUGUAUGUUUGAUUUCCGUUGUCAUGACAAUCGGAACGCGCCUUCUUUUCUCGUCUUUUGUCAAUCGACACAACGCCGCUUCCGCAUUUGAACUGAAACAAGUUUGAAUGGAUGUCAACGAACGACUCGUAGGCUACUAGAUUAAAGGCUCUGAAGAAGUAAAAGAAGAAGAAGUUAAAAGUGGCAGGAUACAGUGUGGAAUGUGCACACCUUGGAUCAUGACAGAGAGAGAAGGAAGGAAGGGAGGGAAAGAGGAAGUGAAGCAUAUCCACCACAUGCAUCUGGGCUUAGGGGGAUCCUCUUACUUGGCUGCUGGUCUACAUGUGGAAAGAACCAGGAUGCUCAUUGAAGAAUCAAGCUGCAGAUUUGCUCUAAUUAAAAUCCUAUGAUUCUGACUUUACAGGCAGGGUCCAUGACCUGUACUGCAGCCAGCCACCAGGGGGCGAUCACAGAGCCAGCAGCUUCACUUUUCAGGACAUGUGAGACACACCCGAUCCUGUCUGACUGCUGUGUAUGAUUCUGCCUGUUUCUCUGACCACUGAUUGUUUGGAUUCUCCCCUUGAUUCUGGUAACCUGUUUGGACUGAUGUUUGUGUUUGGACCCAUUGCUUGCCUUGUUACUUUUGUCUUCUGGAUUUUCCCUUUGUAUGUCGACAGAUUGGACUGCCUUCCCAGUUUUGACUCACUGCCUGAUUAUUCUGUCUGUUGUUGUUGAUUAUCCUUAAUAAAAUUCCGUCACAGCUUCAUAGUUUCCGCAAAAAAUAUUAAUAAUCAUAAAGUCAUCAACAUAAUAAUAGUAAUAAAUAUAU